AUUAGCUGACUUGAAUUAUUAGGUAGUCCGUUAUAUUUAAGUUAGAUUAUUUAGGGGAUAAUUUCGUAUUUGUUGGAGGGGAGGGUGGCUUGCUAUCAUCGGUGCAUUUGAAGAUGAUGAAAUUCUUAGAAGACGUCGAAAGCAGCCCUGAAGGUAAAUUAUCGUGGAGAGGCGCCGAGAUGGUGGCCGGCGAUACCAAUGGUUACGGCUCGGAGGAGCACGGCGACACGGGCGGCGACUCGACGCCACGCCUCAGUCCGGCCGGCCAGCAGACGCCCACGGGCGCCAGCACGCGCACCUCGCUCGUCAAAAUGUCCGCCGACAAACGCGCCAAAAAGGUGCGCUUCUACCGGAACGGCGACCGUUUCUUCAAGGGUCUGCCGUUCGCGGUGCCGCCGGACCGUUACCGCACGUUCGACAGCCUGCUGGCCGACCUGACACGCUCCUCGGUGGUGAGCCGCGCCGCGCUGCCCAUGGGCGUGCGUGUCAUCUUCACAUUGGACGGCAUGAAGGUCAACAGCCUGGACGACAUCCUCGAGGGCCAGAACUACGUCUGCUCCAGCACGGACACCUUCAAGAAGCUCGACUACCUGGGCAGCCAGGACCCGACGUGGAACACGCGGCGCGGCCAGCCCUCGCCGGCGCACACGCCGCCGCAGCACUCUGGCAGCGCGCAGGACAUGCAGACCGAGUCGAGCGAGCGGAUGACGGCCGGCGGCGGCUCGCGCGACUUCAUCCACCCCAAGCUGAUCACCGUGAUCCGCAGCGGCACCCGGCCGCGCCGUCUCGUGCGCAUGCUGCUCAACAAGAAGACGGCGCACUCUUUCGAGCAGGUGCUGCAGGAGCUGUCGCGCGCCGUCAAACUCGACUCGGGCGUCGUGAGGAAAAUAUUCACCGUCGAAGGCCGACAGAUUCGGGAACUAGAAGAUUUCUUUGACAACGAUUCUCUGUUCAUCGCGUACGGCCACGAGAAGCAUCGUCCGGACGACUUUGACCUGCACCCGGACGAAAUGAAGUGGCUGAUAGGCCAGGCGGGCAGUAAGCACGUGCUCGAGCCGGGCACAGAGCAUCCGUCAGCCUUCCGCUCGUCCAGCGGCCGGCGCGCGGUGUCUGCGCGCGCGCCCGGCGGCCGCGCCUCCAUGGCCGGGCCGGCCGGCGCGCCCGACGGCUACAGCACGCUGGCCACGCCGCGCGCGCGCCGCCGGCUGCGCGCCAAGUCGCCGUUCCUCGCUUCUGGCCAGACGAACGGAGCGGCGCCGCCACCCAGCGAGAGCGGAGUCGACUGCCCGGCCCGCGUGCGGGAAAAGUACUGGGUCGGCCGCAAAAUCGGCGACGGCAACUUCGCCGUGGUGUGCGAGUGUGUGCACAGGUCCUCUGGCGCCGAGCACGCGCUCAAGGCCAUCGACAAGUCCAAGUGCCGGGGGAAGGAGCAGAUGAUCGAGAACGAGGUGUCGAUCCUGCGGCGGGUGCACCACCCCAACAUCAUCCAGCUGGUGGAGGAGUUCGACUUUCCCGCGGAGCUCUACCUCGUCAUGGAGCUGGUCAAGGGCGGCGAUCUGUUCGACGCCAUAUCGACCACGACCAAGUACACGGAGAAGGACGCCAGUAAUAUGGUGCGCGACCUGGCCUCGGCGCUCUCCUAUUUGCACCACCUGGACAUCGUGCACCGCGACAUCAAGCCGGAGAACCUGCUGCUGGUCGAGCGGCCCGGCGGCGUCAAGAGCCUGAAGCUGGGCGACUUUGGGCUGGCCCAGGAGGUGACGGGCCCACUGUACGCCGUCUGCGGCACGCCCACCUACGUGGCGCCCGAGAUCCUCAGCGGAGUCGGCUACGGCGUCAAGGUGGACAUUUGGGCGGCGGGCGUCAUCACCUACAUCCUGCUGUGCGGCUUCCCGCCGUUCGCGUCGGCCGACAACAACCAGGAGGAGCUGUUCGACCGCAUCCUCUCUGGCGAGUUUGAGUUCACGCCGCCGUUCUGGGACGAUGUGUCGGACGCGGCGCGCGAGCUCAUCACGGCCAUGCUGCAGGUGGAGCCGGACGCCCGGUUCUCGGCCGAGGAGGUGCUCAUCCACCCGUGGAUCGCGGAAGACGAGGCUUUAGAGAAUGACAUGCACUUGACGGUUGCUCACAAGCUGGGCAUCCAUUUCGACACGGAGUCGAGCCGACAUAAGAACGCCGGCGUCAACCUGCUCACGGCCAAGUCGUUACCCGUUAUCACGUGGGCCACCGACGUGGAGGCUGCUCAAUAGCUAGUGUUGCGCCGAUAUGCUCCCAGCCCUGCCCUAUAGCCGCACCUCUGUCUAUCUAUCUAUCAAUCUAUCUAUAUCUCCUCCGCUGUCUGUCAAACGUUACUCCCCGGAUGUGAUACUUAUUCCUUCUGUUCCUUUUAAUGCAUACGGUGCCGCUAGCCAGCGGCCAUGGAGUAUGAAGCUGUGACGGCGCUGGACAAGGAGGACGAGCUGUUCCUGGGCUCGUGUCUGCUGGACGGCGCGCUCGGCUAGGGAGCACAGCUGGCAGCGGCCGGUAGCGACACCGAAUCUCAACACAUCGACACGGUGCGGC
rnacentral:misc_RNA from 1 species